rnacentral:rRNA from 1 species
CCUACGGGAGGCAGCAGUGGGGAAUAUUGCACAAUGGGGGAAACCCUGAUGCAGCGACGCCGCGUGAGUGAAGAAGUAUUUCGGUACGUAAAGCUCUAUCAGCAGGGAAGAAAAUGACGGUACCUGACUAAGAAGCCCCGGCUAACUACGUGCCAGCAGCCGCGGUAAUACGUAGGGGGCAGGCGUUAUCCGGAUUUACUGGGUGUAAAGGGAGCGUAGACGGCAGCGCAAGUCUGGAGUGAAAUCCCAUGGCUUAACCAUGGAACUGCUUUGGAAACUGUGCAGCUAGAGUGCAGGAGAGGUAAGCGGAAUGCCUAGUGUAGCGGUGAAAUGCGUAGAUAUUAGGAGGAACACCAGUGGCGAAGGCGGCUUACUGGACUGUAACUGACGUUGAGGCUCGAAAGCGUGGGGAGCAAACAGGAUUAGAUACCCCAGUAGUC